AAAAGAGAUUAACAUAAAGGCUCAAACGCAUAUCCACGACAUUAAGGAUAUUACAGAGAAGAUCACUGCCAAGGGAGUAAUUACAUUUGAUGAGAACAUCUAUGCUGGAAAAAACAUUAUAAAGACAGUACAAGUGCAAGUUUUACUUGUUAAGCUGACAGUUGUGACAUCAAGUGCACUCAUUGUAGGCAGUUCCAUUGGAGGGUUUAUCCUUUUAAUCAUCAUCAUCAUUAUUCUUAUCAAGUGUGGAUUUUUCCGUCGACGCCAUAAGAUGGAACGCUCAAUGAGUACAACCUGAAGGCAAUUUCAAUGUUGAACAGAUUGCAUAUCAGUGUUCUUUUUAGAUAAUAGCACAUUGUCUGUGUAGAUUUAUUAUUUUAUAAUUGUACAUUUUAAGUUGUUUUAAUUAGGAAUAUAUUUUUAAUUGCUGAAUAGUUUUCUUAAAUCUUCUUGAAAUCUUGAAGCGUUUUGUAAAUGACCUGUACAGAUUUAAUGCAUUCACAACUUUUAUAUAUGAUGUGCCUUCAUUCAUUAACUCAAAGUCCUUUAUUAUCAAUUUCACACACCAAGGGCUUGUUGUUAUGUCUCAUGUGUCAUGUAAGAAAAUGGAAGUUGAAAUUCUGUUUUCACUUACAUUUCAAGAAACAGCCAAUUUUGAUACAGGUCUAGAAACAAAUAAAAAUAAAAAGACGAUUUCACUCUCUGACUAAC